rnacentral:lncRNA from 1 species
AUUUCCUGGAACAGAUGAGGAACAUUCAUUGGGGCUUGUCCACACUGCAAUAUCGCUCCCAGUUGUACUACAGUUGCUCUGGCUGUAGAUUUAGAUUAUCCUGAUACUGUUUGUCCACAGAUAGGAAAGAUGUUGCUGGGAUGUGCUAGGUCAUACCUGUCCACACGCAUAGGGAAUUGCUCCUUAAGUUCUCACUCCGAAAAUGGGUCCACCCCUUUUGUCUAUUUUCUCUGCCCUUUUCCCACUUAGUGCACUCUCUCUUCCCUUCCCUCCUUGCGUCUUGUGGGCACCAGUCUGCAGUAUGAGUAUCUUAGUCCAGCAGAUGUGGACAACAUCAGGUUCAGGAAAGAUGGGUUAUAUAUUUAUUACAUCUCCCUCUCCCUUCUCUUCAGCGUACAAGUUGUGUUCCUUUUGAUAAGCCACGCAAUCUAGCCUUCUCAGGCCAUGCAGGAUGCAGAUGUGGCUUGGUGUCUGUAUUUUUGGUCUUCCUUCGACAAAGUUUGUGUUAUAGAAACAGAAGAGGUGUGUCCUAGCACAAGAAGCACAGGCGUCAGAACAGGGGGGUCUGGCGAGGUCAAAGCAAGGACCCAUCCACAUUGAUAGCCUCUUCCUACCAAUCAACAGACAGAGGAACCUUUCCUUUCAAAAUGAGGGACAGAGUUUCUCAAACCUUCCUGGCUUUCAUUGGUGGCAUCUUCUUGUCCCUGCGAUUCUGUCAUGCAGAAAGCAAGAGGCAAAUGCUGGAGAGCUGCCAGGCCGAGACGGCCUGCUACGUCUUGAGCUGUUCUGUUUCGGAGAGGGAGCUGCGUGGUGUGGACGUGGUGAGCUGGUGGGAGGACGGAAAGCAGCUCCAGAAGGAAGAUGAGAAAAGAGGGUACCACAUCUUCACAGGGCAAAGAGCAUCUCAGCUCCACAUGUGUCUGAAAAAGAAACCCAGAGAUCGAAGAGUGAAGUGUCGCUUUGAUCGGCAGGCCGAGAUCAACUUCAAUUUGACUGCACAGGGCCAGCAUUUUUGUAUUUAUAACAGUGUGCGGACUUUUCCCCAAGGUAAGGUGCUUUCCAAAUAUCUGAGUUUCUUUAUGUUGCAGGGUUUGUUUUUUUUUUAAAUUUCUGGUUAAGUUUCUCUAGCUGCGCAGCAGAAAUGCAGGGAUUCACCGGGCAGAAUUGCUUCAAGUUCCUUAGAUUAACCCACUCCUUAAGCGGUCACUUAACAUCUCAGUAACUCACUCUGAAACAUUAGUAAGAGAAAGAAUAAAAGCUUUUAUUACUUACA